rnacentral:misc_RNA from 1 species
GUGAAUCAUCAAAUCUUUGAACGCAAAUUGCACUCUCUGGUAUUCCGGGGAGUAUGCCUGUUUGAGGGUCAGUUUAAAUUAAAAAUCGUGGGGUUGCUUUUUUUUUUGAUGCAUCGGAAUUGGGCCAUCUUUGUUCUUUGGAUUUUUUAAGAGACCUAAAAUUGAUACUUUUUGCAUCUCAGACUUACAUAAAGAAUAUUUUUUUGUUAUUAGUUCGGUGCUUCCC